AGUAACAGUCAGCCAGCGCGCGGCGUUAGAUGAGAAACAUCUGUGACAGUCGAUGAUAUCAUGUAAUAAAUACAAAGCAAUCGCGGCCAUCAGAAUAUUAAUUGUAUUUAUUAAUUAUCUUCACUGAUUUUAUUUGCACUCGGUCUAGAUCACGCUUUCAGUGAAACAUUGGUUUGUAAAAGCUGUUUUAUGCUGAGAUUUCGUUGCAUUGACGCCGUUCGUUUCGAGCGAUUCACUGAAUCACUUUGUGAGCAAUCGGUUCAUUUGAUUCCAGAGUUUGGUAAAGGUUCGUUUCUCCCAUCACUGGGUAAAGCUGGUUUCUAACAUAUUUGGGCAUAGCCAGUGCUAAAAACACACGUCUCAUUUCUGCUUUAAUCGUGGAUUUGGGAUUGAUCUGUUUCUGGAGUUUAGGUGAUAAAAUGGUGUUUUGAAGUGAUUCAGUGAGUCGGUCUGUAAUGUGAUUGGUUUAUGAGGCACAGCUGAUCAUCUGACAAUCACUGCUUAUAUAAGAAGAUCUGGAGAAGGAUCCUCAGGUAGAUCUCACACAGAGUGCUGUUGUUUACAAACGCUUUAUAUCAGGAUUGGAGAGUUUGGUGAGCAUCACGAGCUGUGAUGGAUGUAAUAUUGUGUUCAGACGCACUUUAGUGAAUCAAAGCAGUGAGUAAAGCAUCAGCUUCACCCAGCUGUUAUCGAUAGUCCUUCCUCGUGAGAAAGCAGAUGAAUCAUUAGCUCUGGAGGAUCUGCUGGGACUCUGGUCUCUCUCUCUGUUAGAUUCAGUCCAGCUGAAGAUCUGGAGAUGUUCCUGGAGGAGCGCGCUGGAAUCUGGGUAGCGGCUCUCGAAGAGCUGAGAAGCCGUCCACGAGCUCUGCCAGCGACCCUGGAACACCACACCAGAUCAUUAUCUUCAGCAUCCGUAUGGCGCUCCUCUAUCAGCUGUGGUUCAGCAGAGCUCUGAAGCAGCGAGUCUGUGUUUUAUUGGCUCCUGCAGCUCUGUGGUGCUGAGAGAUAGGGGCCGUCGCUGAAACCGUCAGGGGCCCGGGAUACUUCCUUUCAACACUUCAACUUUUGUUUUAUUUUUAAAUGUUUGUCUAAUUUUAGACAUUUUAUGAAGUGUAAAUAGUUUAAUGAUUUUAUUGCAUCUGUUGAAUGUUUAAGCCGUGUAAUAGCCAGAGAAGCUGAUGUGGCAGUAAAUAUAAACCCAACCAGACUGGUUUCCCUUUCGUCUUCAUCAGCUGUUUUGCUUUUGUCUGAGUUUAGUAAACUCAAGUGUUCACUAAUAUGGCUUCUCCCAAACACACUUUCAUUCGUUUGGUCCGUGCAGUGUCACCGCAGCUCCCUUCACCUCAGUAAAGAAAUUGUGUUUUAAGUCAAUUUUAU